rnacentral:lncRNA from 1 species
AAAAAUAAAAAAAUCUAAGAAUAAUUGUUUGCACGGUAUGAAAUGGAAGGAAUAAAAGAAUAUUUACUCAAGAUAAUAACAAAAAUGCAUUUCAUUUGAAUAAAGAUUUUGGAUAUAAGCCUAUUUCACAAAAGGAUUCUUGUUGCUUCUAGGCUUAAAACAACAAGUGUGUUUUGAAUAUUACUCUAGAUUAGCUCUAACAAUAUAAGGAUCUCUUUCAUAGUCCCAUUGUUUAAAACACCCUAAGUACAUAAGGGCAGAAGCUUGGAAAAGUUUAUUCCCUGGUUCUCACUUCUGAUACGUCGUUAAUGUUCGGAUUCCCCAAUACUAGGUCUUAUACUAGACUCCUGAGCUCGAUGUACCAUUGGAUCUCAUGCCCCUAUCCAUCAUGGAACUCAUAAUGUCCACCAUUUUAACAGAAAGGUUGGAUAACAGAUUUCUUGCUCCAGAGGGAUCAUCGAAUUUCACGAUACCCAAUUUGAUAAAUCUUUCGAUUAGCUUCUUAAAAGCGUACAGUUCUCAAUGAAAUGCCCUGUGAUUCUCGCAUGUAUUCACAUUGGCCACUUGCAUCGUACCAUUUAGGAUAUGGAGGCUGUAUAGGUUCUAUGUAAAAAGGGCAAACAACAUGUGCGUCGAACAGAACGUAGGACAACUCUCUGUACGUGAUUGGGUUGGGGGUGUAUUGGGGUUUUUCUGAGUUUGAUCUUCGAUUGGGUUCUUGCCUUGAGGAGGCUUGAUGGCUGGUAGUUACUGACCUUGGCCGGCUUACUAUAAUCGGCUCUGAACGACCCUUGUUAUACCUACUCGUACUAUUUACUUUCUUUUCCUUCUUCUUCGAGGCCUUUAAAGUCCACUCUCCCCUUUCCUUCAUUUCUGCCAGAACAACUGGCUUGGCUCGAUCAUCUUCUGGGUUAAAACCUGAACCCAUCGGGAAGCUUAAUAGUGCCGAUGUAUCCAUCUGAUAUUGGUUCCCGAUAACAACUGGUACCCCUUGUAUGUCUGGUUGGGUCGGGACGCUUAUUGGGGUAAAACCUGAGGAAUAGAUGAUCUCUUCAAUAUCAUCCUCACUAUUGACCACUGGGCCACUCCUUUUUUUAAAUUCUUCGGCCAGUAACUAGGUUAACUGGCCCAUCAUAUUUCUUUGGAGUUCUAGCAUUUCUCGCAUAUCUUGUUGAAUUUUGAUCAAUUGCUAUUGCAUCUGUAUUUGCCUUUGCUCCAUUCUCUCCAACCUUUGGUCCAUAUCCUUUGUCAGUUCUGAAAUAAUUUUACCUAAUUAAGGUCCUUUUGGGAAAAUCUAAUGCAAAUGAUGCAAUGCAAUGCAAUGCAAAUGUAUGGGAUGAAUGCAAAGGAAAGAAAUAUGUUGAUUUUGAAUUCAAUUCCCUUAGAACAACUUUUCUAGAAAACAAAUUCUUUUACAUAAAACGGAUUACGUAUACGGUCUUGCUUUCAUAUUCCAGGCAAUGAAAAUGAUCCCUUCGUGAAAGUUAAAUCUCGCAAGCUUCCAAUAAAUACCUCUACUAGCUCCUUUAGCUCGAUCUAGGCCAUGACUUACUAUCCUUGCAAUAUUGAUUAGCUUCUUUAAGAAAGUCAGGACGCGACGGCUUUUGAAUAAUCUUUAUUAGCUUGAAUCUUUAGGUAAAGUCGUGUUUUCUCUGCGAACUGUUAGCCUUCUUCUGUCAUGUUUAGACCAUAUUCGGACAACCGUGUUGUAAUCCGCUUUAUCAAGAAAUUCAUUUUCUUAUGACAAACUAUUCUAUUUAGUAAUCGAAUAUGAAUCAACACCUCAUUUCUAUGAAGAUGCAAUACAAUACAGUCAUCAAAAAAACAAAAACAAAAUACGUUAGUACAAGAGAAAUAAAUGACAAAUAAAGCACCUAUUUGGGUGAUCACUAGAGGUUCAGAGUGGCUCUACCUAGGGUAAGCUUCUAGGUCUCUCUUUAUGUGGCUUGGUUCUAGAGCAAGGGUACCUGAACCAGCAGAUUCUUUGAUCCUCACCCAUUAUAGGCUUAUACAGAUCGAGUUCAGUUCAGGGGAAUACAUUUCCUUAUGACCAUGCGGAGAUGAAAAUCUCAUGAAAACAUAGGUAUGGAUGUAUCCCGGAAGUAAUCCACUAGCCCAUGCGGAGGUGAAAACCUCACGGAAGCAUAGUUUCUCACUCCCACUUAGAGGGUGUGACCAUACUGGUCAUGCAAUGCAAUGCAAGCGUACACUACAAAACUUGAACAACAAUCAUGCAAAUGAAUGCAACAAAGAAUCAAAUCAAAAUUUCAAUUUUAGACAAAAGGACAGAAAUUAAUCAAUUUUAUGGCUUGACUCUCUUGUUCAGUCCCCAGUGGAGUCGCCAGUCUGUCGAAACCAUUUUUAGAUUUGAAGAAAAACGGGGAUCAACUUUAAAAAAUGAAAAAUGUGGAGUCGCCACCAAUCUUUUAUUUAGGUGUGAUUGGAUCACCAAAAAAAUUGGUUAAAAUAGUUCUUUUUACUAAAACAACGAUUUUGACCUAUGUAAAUAUGAGAAAAUAGGUUCGGGAGUCGGUUACGUAUGAGGAAGGAUUAGCACCCUCACUACGCCCAAAAUUGGUACCAAAUUGAUUAAAUACUGUCCUUAUGUCUGAGAUUUAAAAGAGUUUUUGAAAUGUGGUUCUUUUUAUUUGAAUAGCCCGAGUUGGUCGUCAAAAGUCCCUUGUUUCAGAGGAAUGCAACAUCACAUCCAGCACGAUAGGACACAAUCCUUUAUAUCCUCGAGAACAUGAUAAAUUCUGACUUCCAAAAGUUUAUAUGUCGAAAAUUGCAAAAGGAUGCCCAAUUAUCUAGUCCAAUGAAAAAAAUCGGAACCCAGCACAAUAGAGCACGAUUCCUCGAAUUUCUAAACAUCGAACAUUGCCUUAUUUUAGAAUUUAGGGAACAUGAGUGAAAUUUUAAAGGGAUAUUCGAUUAUUUUGAACAAAUAGGAAAUCGCAACCCAGCACGAUAGGGCACGAUUCCUCGAAUUGCCAAACAUCGAACAUUACCUUCGUUUUAAAGAAAUUUUAAAGACAUGAGUGAAAUUCCAAAGGAAUAUUCGAUUAUUUUGAACAAACGGGAAAUCGCAACCCAGCACGAUAGGGCACAAUUCCCGAAUUGCCAAACAUCGAGCAUUGCCUUCGUUUUAAAGAAUUUUUAAAUGAAUAAUUAUAAAAAUAGCUUAAAACGCGUUAAUUUUACUUGAAAUAAAACAAAAAUAAUCUUGAAGAUUUGGACCUUAUAAAACCACAUUUCGUAAACCAAGUGGAAAACAAUGAUAUGGGAUAAUACACACGCAUAAGAUACAAUAUUUGAUGAGUGAGGAUAAUGUGUCUUAUUUAAUCAACUAACGAAAUAAACAAUUAAGUAUAAUUAACCUAAAAAAUAUAACCCGAUUACAAUCAUGCAUGGGAAAUAAUUGAUAUAAUAAUACAAUAACGAAAAUAAUAAUAUAACAAUACAACACAACAAAGCAAUACAUACAAUAAUAUGCCACAAUAAUAUACAUAGCAUGAUAUAAAACAAUCAAUGUAAGAUGUAAAAAAAAAAAAAGCAAUUAGAAGCCAAUGUGGUAUAAAACGAUUUUAAAAUAAUGACAAAUAAAUGAACACAUAAUUUACACAAUAUAUAAAUAGAUGAACUUAAAACUAUUUGGAAAAACAAACUGAAAAUAUAUAUACAUAAUUACUAAAACAUAUGUUAUAGGACGAAUAUUUUAAAUCGAAUGAUAUGCAAAGUAUUGAAGAAUAUUGGUUUAAAAUUGACAAUUUACACGUAAGUAAGAAAAUUUUGAAUUAUGUGUAAAGUAUACAAAAAAUAAAUAAAUAAAUAAAUAGUAAUAAAAAUGCAUAAUAAAAUAUAAUCUUUAAAACAUAAUGGAUUUACAAACCAUAUAUAUAUAUGUAUAUAAAUAAACUUAGAAAUACUUGUUUGUAAAGAUAUCAUAGAAAUGUACACAAGAUUAAAUUAUUUUUAUUAUAUACGUACAAAUAUAUAUAAUGAAACAUUUGAAUGAAAUACUAUCUAAAACAUAAAAAUAAUAUAAUAUAAAGAAACAUUCCAAAAUAAUAAUUUUAUAAAUACAAAGAUAAAGUUCCUAAAAUAGUUUCAUAUAUACAUAAAGAAAAAUACUUGAUGAAUCAUAAAGCAAGAAAUAUUUUAAAUAGAAAAAUCUAUUAAAGUAAUAGAUGUAUUAACAUAUAUAUAUAUAUAAAUAUUUAAACAAGAGGUUAUAUAAAAGUAUUAAAAUAACUUAAUGCGAAAUGAAUUUUAAAAUGAUGAUUUUAUAAAACAAACUAAAGUUAUUAAGAUGGUUCAACUCAUGUACAAAAAUAUUGUGAAUCUUCAAAAUAAUAAGUAUUAUAAAUUGAACACUCAAUGAGAAUAAUAUGUAUACUAAUAUGUAUAAAAUAUUUUUUUUAAAAAAUAUUGCGCAAAAUGUAAAAAUAAUAAGAUAAAAGAAGCCUCAAAAUAAUUGAACAAAUGAAAACAAAUAAAAUCAUUAAAAUAAAUUAACAUAUACAAAAAUAUUAAAAGUAUUUUAAAUUAGCAGAUUAUACAAAUAAAAGACCAAAUUAAGAUUAAACCUAAAAUAAAAGGGACAAUUUACAAAUAAAAUAGUUUUAAAAAAAAGGUGCAAAGCAUAUAAAUGUACAGGGACUAGAACUGAAAAUAAUCCAGGUCCCAAAACGCUGCACCUUGGAGCGAACUAAAAUGAAAUAGUGUACAAAUUUUUGGGGAAAAAUUAAAAUAAAACACAUGGAUGCCAAUGGGGGUCUGCUGAAAUGUGGUGCAAAAAGUGAGGGAUUAAUCGUGGAAAUUUCCCAUUUGACAUACAAAUGCACAAAUUGGGUUUUGGCAUAUAUCAACACGUGGUCCCCACCCUUAAACACCACCGUUUCAAUUUAUUUCAAAAUGGCAGGAAAUUGAAUGGCAAUUGGCCAUUUCUUCAAGCCACAAUUAAGGAAAAAACCCUAAUACCCCAUACUUUCCCCUCAUUUGGCCGAUUCUCUCCCCCCCUCCCAAACACUAAGCUACACAUUCAAGCUUGGGGAAUGAUUUUUCAGCCUUGAAAUCUCUUCUUGGCUUCGAUUCAAACAAAGCAAAAAGGAGAUUUAUGGCGUAUUUGCCAGGUAAGAACUUCUUCCUUUUCUUUUUAUUUGCUUUCAAACAUAAAAACGAUAAACCCAAAAGAAUGAAGAACAAAGAAAGAAAAAAAAGCAUAUAGAGAUUUAAAUCAAAAAUCACCUUCUCCAAAAAAAUUGCUUUUGAAUUCUCUAUUCAAUAUGAGUAUGUAGUAUCUCUAAAAAAUACCUGAGGCAAUACAAUAGCCUUGUAUGGCUUUAUAUAGCCGAAAUAAAAAAUAAAAAUACAUCAUUUUUGCUAUUUUGUGCUGCUGUCAUUCCUUCAUUUUUUUGCAGGUACCAGGUAUUGUGGCAAGGCAGCUGGCAUGUACGGGCGUGGGGCGUACGGAGUUCGUGGAGAUCGGGGCUGUUGCGGCGCAAGCAUAAGCUGCUAGGGUUCCCGGCUAUGCUUCUGUUUUGGGCCAUGGGGUGUUUGUUAGUUUGGGCUGUAAUUUGAAUUGGACAUUUUAAUUUAGUGUUUUUUUUGUCUGAUUUGGGCUUAUUGGGUUUAAUUUGGGUUAUGUUUUUAUUUUGGUUUUGGGCCCGGGCAGAUUUGGCCCAUUACAUGUUGCAUCAUAUUAUUUCAUGUUCAUUUAUCCUUUCCUAUGCGAAUGCUUCGAUACAAUGCAUUAAAU